GGGGCAACCCUGAUCCAGCCAUGCCGCGUGAGUGAAGAAGGCCUUCGGGUUGUAAAGCUCUUUCGGCCGGGAAGAAAUCGCGCCAGCUAAUACCUGGUGUGGAUGACGGUACCGGAAGAAGAAGCACCGGCUAACUACGUGCCAGCAGCCGCGGUAAUACGUAGGGUGCGAGCGUUAAUCGGAAUUACUGGGCGUAAAGCGUGCGCAGGCGGUUUUGUAAGACAGUGUGAAAUCCCCGGGCUUAACCUGGGAACUGCGCUUGUGACUGCAAGACUUGAGUGCGGCAGAGGGGGGUGGAAUUCCACGUGUAGCAGUGAAAUGCGUAGAGAUGUGGAGGAACACCGAUGGCGAAGGCAGCCCCCUGGGUCGACACUGACGCUCAUGCACGAAAGCGUGGGGAGCAAACAGGAUUAGAUACCCUGGUAGUCCACGCCCUAAACGAUGCGAACUAGGUGUUGGGGAAGGAGACUUCUUUAGUACCGUAGCUAACCGCGAAAGUCGCCGCCUGG
rnacentral:rRNA from 1 species